rnacentral:ncRNA from 2 species
AUCCCUGCUCCGGGGUGUCGUCCGCGCAAGUGGAGGGCUGAGAUGGUCGAACCGAACCCGUGAACUUGACUCGGAUCAUGCCGACGUAAGAAGAGCUGUUAGCCAGGCC